rnacentral:rRNA from 1 species
GACGAACCGUGCGAACGUUUGUUCGGAAUCACUGGGCUUAAAAGGGCGCGUAGGCGGGUUUGCAAGUCUGCGGUGAAAGCCUCCAGCUUAACUGGAGAAGUGCCGUGGAUACUGCGGAUCUGGAGGAGGGUAGGGGCAUCUGGAACGGUCGGUGGAGCGGUGAAAUGCGUUGAUAUCGACCGGAACUCCGGUGGCGAAGGCGAGGUGCUGGACCCUUUCUGACGCUGAGGCGCGAAAGCCAGGGGAGCAAACGGGG